GCGGUGCGCAUGCGCAGUGGCCCGCUGGAGGCAGAAGGAAGAUGGCGGCGUCCUGAGUUUUGUGAGUGAGUGGAGCGCAGUCUGCAGUGUGGGCUUCAGUUCGGCAUCAGCGACCGCUGGUAGACAGCAGUACCGGAGCACCGGAACACCGGAGACUCAACCGAGCCGCGACCGAGAGCGCGGAAACACAGGCCGUGUGUCAAGAUGAAUAUCCUCAAAGACAACAGAGAUCUGGCCUGUUUCUACACAACCAAACACUCCUGGAGGGGGAAGUACAAGCGUGUGUUCUCGGUGGGCACUCACGGCAUCACCACAUACAAUCCCACAACAUUAGAGGUUACAAACCAGUGGGCGUACGGGGACAUCUGCAGCAUCUCCCCGGUGGGCAAGGGUCAGGGCACAGAGUUCAGCCUCACCUUCAGGAAGGGCAGCGGGAAGAAAUCUGAGACACUGAAGUUCAGCACAGAGCACCGCACCGAGCUGCUGACCGAG